rnacentral:rRNA from 1 species
CAGUCGCCGCGGGAAUACAGAGGGUGCGAGCGUUAAUCGGAUUUACUGGGCGUAAAGCGUGCGUAGGCGGCUUUUUAAGUCGGAUGUGAAAUCCCUGAGCUUAACUUAGGAAUUGCAUUCGAUACUGGGAAGCUAGAGUAUGGGAGAGGAUGGUAGAAUUCCAGGUGUAGCGGUGAAAUGCGUAGAGAUCUGGAGGAAUACCGAUGGCGAAGGCAGCCAUCUGGCCUAAUACUGACGCUGAGGUACGAAAGCAUGGGGAGCAAACAGGAUUAGAGACCCGAGUAGUCCCUGUCUAUUAUAU